rnacentral:rRNA from 1 species
GAUGAACGCUAGCGGCAGGCUUAACACAUGCAAGUCGAGGGGUAGAUUACUUCGGUAAUUGAGACCGGCGCACGGGUGCGUAACGCGUAUACAAUCUACCUUUUACAGAGGGAUAGCCCAGAGAAAUUUGGAUUAAUACCUCAUAGUAUUUUCGAAUCGCAUGAUUUGAUUAUUAAAGUUCCAACGGUAAAAGAUGAGUAUGCGUCCCAUUAGCUAGAUGGUAAGGUAACGGCUUACCAUGGCUACGAUGGGUAGGGGUCCUGAGAGGGAGAUCCCCCACACUGGUACUGAGACACGGACCAGACUCCUACGGGAGGCAGCAGUGAGGAAUAUUGGACAAUGGGCGCAAGCCUGAUCCAGCCAUGCCGCGUGCAGGAAUAAGGUCCUAUGGAUUGUAAACUGCUUUUAUACAGGAAGGAACACACCCUCGUGAGGGUACUUGACGGUACUGUAUGAAUAAGGACCGGCUAACUCCGUGCCAGCAGCCGCGGUAAAG